UACGGAGGGUGCGAGCGUUAUUCGGAAUCACUGGGCUUAAAGGUCGCGUAGGCGGUGCGGUAAGUCAGGGGUUAAAGGCUGCAGCUCAACUGCAGUAAGGCCUUUGAUACUAUCGUGCUAGAGUGUCAGAGAGGAUGGCGGAAUUCCCGGUGUAGCGGUGAAAUGCGUAGAUAUCGGGAGGAAGGCCGGUGGCGAAGGCGGCCUCCUGGGCCUGCACUGACGCUGAGGCGCGAAAGCGUGGGGAGCAAACAGG
rnacentral:rRNA from 1 species